rnacentral:rRNA from 1 species
UACAGGGGGGGCAAGCGUUGUUCGGAAUUACUGGGCGUAAAGGGCUCGUAGGCGGCCGGCUAAGUCCGACGUGAAAUCCCCAGGCUUAACCUGGGAACUGCGUCGGAUACUGGCGGGCUUGAAUCCGGGAGAGGGAUGCGGAAUUCCAGGUGUAGCGGUGAAAUGCGUAGAUAUCUGGAGGAACACCGGUGGCGAAGGCGGCUCACUGGCCCGAUACUGACGCUGAGGCACGAAAGCGUGGGGAGCAAACAGG